rnacentral:rRNA from 1 species
GAUGAACGCUAGCGGCAGGCCUAACACAUGCAAGUCGAGGGGUAACUAGAGUGAUAGCAAUAUUACUUUGGCUAGACCGGCGCACGGGUGCGUAACACGUAUGCAACCUACCUUAUACUGGGGAAUAACUUCGAGAAAUCGGCGCUAAUACCCCAUAACACUGCGGAGAGGCAUCUCUUUGCAGUUAAAGCUCCGGCGGUAUAAGAUGGGCAUGCGUCCAAUAGCUAGUUGGUGAGGUAACGGCUCACCAAGGCUACGAUUGGUAGGGGUUCUGAGAGGAUGAUCCCCCACACUGGUACUGAGACACGGACCAGACUCCUACGGGAGGCAGCAGUGAGGAAGAUUGCGCAAUGGCCGAAAGUCUGACGCAGCCAUGCCGCGUGCAGGAUGACGGCCCUAUGGGUUGUAAACUGCUUUUGUACGGGAAUAAACCCUUCUACGUGUAGGAGGCUGAAGGUACCGUAAGAAUAAGCACCGGCUAACUCCGUGCCAGCAGCCGCGGUAA